CUUCAGAACUCGGGGUUUGGUGAGAAAUUUGUUGGCACAGGACAGUCUGGAUGCUCUUGUAUACUCAACUGUUUUGUUUGACUUUCCCAGGGGAGGGGGAAAUAUUACCCUUGGGAAACAGGCUUCAGGGAAAUUGAUUUUCAUGAGAAAAACAUAUUGAGCAAAGAGGCAGGACCUGACUCCCUAAUGGGAGGAAGUUAAGGCAGGAUAUUAAGUUGGGCAGUUAGAGAAGCAGCUAGACUGAGAAUGCUCUGGAAGGUGGGUCCUGACUCUCUGUCAGGAUGAACGAAGCAGCCAGAUCAUGAGGACAUGGUGGCCAGUCCUUCUAGGGAAGAAAAGGACAAUGAGAGCUCUACAGGCUCCUCAAGUUUACCUUCCAUCCCCAACUUCAUCUGUAGUGCAAGAUUAUUGCUGGCAUAAAUAUGAAUGAAGACACAAAUACAGCGUGGGGACUAUAAGGUCUCAAUACUCUUUGCAUGGUCAAGAUUGGAGUUUAACAAAGCUGAUAUCAAACUCUGUUUCACAGUAAUAGCAAAGUGACAGGAAUAAUUGUGUGACAAAUCCAUCAGAAUUUAUAAUCCAAAUGAGAGUUUUCCUCUCACAGAAGUUCCCUGGGAAACUACACACUUUUUCCACUGAUGUUUUAAAAAAAACACUGGGACUCUUUUCGAGUAUAUUUUUUAGAUCCUUCGACACAGACUUUUGGUCCUGCUUAGCUGAGGUUAACUUUCAUCUUUUGAGAAUAGAUUUGCAUGCUACAAAUAGCCAAGAGUCUUUCCGAGAUUGCUGUAAUAAAUAACUUUGGAGACUAAGUUGAGUCAUACCAUUCAACUAAGUUAGAUUCUUUAACUAUCAGUUUUAGUUACAAGUUCUUAAGUGCAGUUCAGGCCCUUGGGCCAAAUCAGAGAAGGCCAGGAUCUGAAAGUUAAACAGACAAGUCAGUGUGAUACUAACUCUAAGAUGGGUCUAAGUAUUAUGGAGCAUGCUCAAGCAGGUGACAAAUUGUCAGGGUGACAUGGCAGUGGCAAUAAUAGAGGUUAAGGCAAGAAAUAGGCAGAGGGAGUCCAGGAAACCCAAGAGCAGAUAGAAAUAUAGUAUUCAAGUAAGGAUUAAAAAGACCUGUAGAGAGGUAAACCAGAAUCCUACUCUCAGGGAUCUCGAGUGUUAAUUGGGGGACCAAAUAUGAGAUUUGGGUUCUAGAAGAGUUAUAGGAAAUUAAGUAGGAUCCCAAGUAAAGUCAUGAGAUGACAAGGUCAGAGUAAGCCUGAAUUUCUAAUAUUUCUUCUGUGCCAAACUAUGAUUGUUCCAAGAACCUAGGACAGAGCCGAACCCACAAGAAUUAUUGAGUGGCCUAAGCACAAUGAAAAUUACACAAGUGAUGUAUCAUUCAUAACACUGUGGUGGUGAAGAAGUCAACCACAUAAUUCUGCCAGUGCUUCAGAAUGUCUAUCCUAUUAGUCUGACUACCUUUGAGAGGUGAAUUCUACAUGACAGUGCCAUGGUUGUUGGAAAAAUAGCACAACUCCAUUAUCCUCAUCUGUAGUUGGAUUCUGCGCUUAUCUUGGGGUCUCUGGCAGACCGAAGUUUGCCUCUGAAGAUUCUAACACUUUUGUUUCUUAAUCACACCAGAAAAACCAUUUUCCUCCCUGGUUACUAUUUUACUCAAGAACAUCUUUUUCUUUUGAGCUUCCCUGGAAAGUUCAAAACAAAUGUCAAACCUUCUGUUUUCAUUCAUCACUUAAAAUGAAUUGACAUCUUUAUAGAAACUUUGCUUGUGUUUAGGGUUUCUUCCAGAUCAAGUCAGCUUCUUCAUCCAAAUUGGAUUCUUCAGACAUCAUUCUCGCAGUUGCAAGACAUAAAGACAUUUAAUGAAGCAAAUCUCUGACCUUUUCAAUAUUUCCAUCUGUCCUGUGGAUGACUAGAUGACCCAGUCAUGCAUCAUCAUGGAGACCUUCCCUAAACCUUUCAUAGCAGUCCCAAUUUUUGCUCUUGAGAUUAUUCAUGCCCCCAUAAGCAUCUCUUAAUACAUGAAGUAUCUAACUUGCAAAUUCAUUUUAUGCAAUAUUUUAUAUUGAUAUUUUGCUCUAAACAAUGGCCAUUGAUUUUUGCAGUGAUAUGAAACUAGCAUGCAUUUCACCACCAAUACUAGCUAGUGCAAGACCGAUUAACUGACCUUGAUAGUUUUGUUCCUGAAAGUUAAAGCAUGUUUCCAGUUUGGCCUUGGUCACAGUUCCCAACAUUGAAUAACAACUCAAUGUAUAUGUGACCCCAAAGAUAAUUAUUUUAGAAAUUAAGAUGCCUAUAUUGUUCUUUCUCUUUCAUGUAUCUUGUCAUCAUCAUUAUAUCAGCCUGAGCUAGUUGAAGGUCAUUUCCGUAUGGGCUUCGAGGGUAAGUAAGUAGGGUUUGGGAGAGCCCCUUACCCCAAGUCUCAGCUUAGUUGCUGACACAUACCUAUUAUAGCACCCUAGACUAUUUGUGUUAUCCUAUCUCCUGAGUAAUUACAGUAUAUGGUAGUGGUUAAGGAAGCAGGCUCUGAAGUUAGAAUUGGGCUUGAAACUUAAUGAUCAUUCACUAAUGUAGUCAAGUGAAUUCUUACCUACGUGAUAGAAAUAAUAUCCACCUGCAAAGUUCACAGAGAUUAAAUGAAAUAAUAUAUAUAUAACACACUUAGCAUGGUACCAGCCUAUCUAUUAUUAAUCAGUGGGAAGACCAGCCUGACUUACUGAAAAGUCAGGAUAUCUUUCAAAGUUAUAAAGUAACACCUCUAUUAAUAUUGACUCUUCUUAUUCAGAAACUUCCUUCACAGAAUAACAUCAGAAACAAUACUCAAUUCCAGCCAUACUCCAAGGGGAGGUUGUGGCUCACUCAAGUUUGCAAGUGUACUUCUGUUUCCUUGGGAUUUGACCCUACACUGGUUAUUGCUGAGCUGAAGAUACUACAGACCUUUAGCUUCCUCCAUUAAAAGAAACUAGCUAGGCUGUCUCAUUUCUUCAGCUGCCACUGCUGCUAGUCAAGGACUGAGAGCUUCCAUUAGUCUUCUAUGUCUCUGUGUACUCAGGCUAACUUUAAUCAAAUGAAAUUCCUACUUAAUGGAUUGAUUAAUUGAGAUGUUAUUGUUUGCUAUUGUUACCUCCAAAUAUAAACAAUGAAUUGUAUUAUCAAGUAGAUGGCUUAAUGGCAUCAAUAUUAAUAAAUAGAGAAAUAUAAUCAAUGUUUCACAUGUAAAUGAAACCUAUAUUACCCCUGUAAUUUUGUUUAAGGUAUUAGUUUACCAAGCAUAUCCUUUCUUUUUGUAGCUGGUGGAAUGGUAAACUCCAAAGCCUAGUCUAUAAAUAAAGCAGUCCCCUGUCAUGAGCUAGUGAAGUCCAAAUUAAUAAGGUUUACUUUAUCUAUACUAACCCUAACUACACUGAUAUAUUACUUAUCUAAAGGUCCCCUUCCUGGAAAUCAUAAUUGUCUAGUACUCACAGAGCUAAAACUAAUAAAUAACCUUUAAAGACCUUAGGAGAGCCAAAAGAGAUGAUACAAAAUCUCUGCCCCAAACCUCAUCCAGAGUGCUUGUAGAAAAACCCCCUAAGGUUCACAAUCCUACUUUAUACACAAUUGUAACUCAGCUUAUUUUCUGAGCCUAGGAUAGAAGAGAAAAUGUCAAUGGACUACUGGAGGCAUAAACAAUGUUAUCAGUAAGUAAAAACUUUAGAUAUAAGACAGAAUAGUUCUUAAAAAAAAAAAAAAAAAACAGCCUGCGGCCAUUUACUGGAUAAUUAAACAGUCUGAUACACCUCAAGAUUGCUCCUAAAGACACUACACAUCUCAGCCCGACCCAAUGAUUAAUGUCCUUAAAGAUGGCCUGGAAUCAACCUGAAGAAGGCAAAUUGUGUCAGGUUCACUUGGCAUGAAAACACAGAGACCUAUCCGUUUGAAACAAUUAGUACUGCAAGGGACACUUCUAUUAUUUGGGACAUGCACUUACAAACAUCUCCUUCCUGACCAAUGCCAAAUAGAUCUGGUGUUACAGUAUCCGCCAACCAAGGCAUGUCACACUGGGUUCUGCCAGCCUGGCUCAAUGAACAGAUAAAGGUUUUUGAUGAGCACAUUGUUUAUAUGCAUAUAAAAUAGAUACUAGUCA
rnacentral:lncRNA from 1 species